UACGAAGGGGGCGAGCGUUGUUCGGAUUUACUGGGCGUAAAGGGCGCGUAGGCGGCGCCGCAAGUCGAGUGUGAAAGCCCCGGGCUCAACCUGGGAAUUGCGCUCGAGACUGUGGUGCUGGAGUUCGGGAGAGGAGCGUGGAAUUCCCAGUGUAGAGGUGAAAUUCGUAGAUAUUGGGAAGAACACCGGUGGCGAAGGCGGCGCUCUGGACCGAGACUGACGCUGAGGCGCGAAAGCCAGGGGAGCAAACGGG
rnacentral:rRNA from 1 species